rnacentral:rRNA from 1 species
AAUAAGCGGAGGAAAAGAAACUAACAAGGAUUCCCCUAGUAACUGCGAGUGAAGCGGGAAAAGCUCAAAUUUAAAAUCUGGCGGUCUUUGGCUGUCCGAGUUGUAAUCUAGAGAAGUGUUAUCCGCGCUGGACCGUGUACAAGUCUCCUGGAAUGGAGCGUCAUAGAGGGUGAGAAUCCCGUCUUUGACACGGACUGCCAGGGCUUUGUGAUGCGCUCUCAAAGAGUCGAGUUGUUUGGGAAUGCAGCUCAAAAUGGGUGGUAAAUUCCAUCUAAAGCUAAAUAUUGGCGAGAGACCGAUAGCGAACAAGUACCGUGAGGGAAAGAUGAAAAGAACUUUGGAAAGAGAGUUAAACAGUACGUGAAAUUGCUGAAAGGGAAACGCUUGAAGUCAGUCGCGUUGGCCGGGGAUCAACCUUGCUUUUGCUGGGCGUACUUUCCGGUCGACGGGUCAGCAUCAAUUUUGACCGUUGGAUAAAGGCUGAGGGAAUGUGGCUCCUUCGGGAGUGUUAUAACCCUUGGUCGCAUACAACGAUUGGGAUUGAGGAACUCAGCACGCCGCAAGGCCGGGUACUUGUACCACGUUCGUGCUUAGGAUGCUGGCAUAAUGGCUUUAAUCGACCCGUCUUGAAACACGGACCAAGGAGUCUAACAUGCCUGCGAGUGUUUGGGUGGAAAACCCGAGCGCGUAAUGAAAGUGAAAGUUGAGAUCCCUGUCGCGGGGAGCAUCGACGCCCGGACCAGACCUUUUGUGACGGAUCCGCGGUAGAGCAUGUAUGUUGGGACCCGAAAGAUGGUGAACUAUGCCUGAAUAGGGUGAAGCCAGAGGAAACUCUGGUGGAGGCUCGUAGCGAUUCUGACGUGCAAAUCGAUCGUCAAAUUUGGGUAUAGGGGCGAAAGACUAAUCGAACCAUCUAGUAGCUGGUUCC